rnacentral:tRNA from 1 species
UGAUAUAUAGCUCAAUGGUUAGAGCAUUCCCUCGGGAAAAGUGUUCGGUUCGAUUCCGUUCUUAUCAA